UGGCGGACGGGUGAGUAACACGUAUGCAACCUGCCUUCAACAAGGGGAUAACCCGUUGAAAGACGGACUAAUACCCUAUAACACAGGGGCCCCGCAUGGGGAUAUUUGUUAAAGAUUAAUCGGUUGAAGAUGGGCAUGCGUUCCAUUAGCUAGUUGGUGGGGUAAUGGCCCACCAAGGCAACGAUGGAUAGGGGAACUGAGAGGUUUAUCCCCCACACUGGUACUGAGACACGGACCAGACUCCUACGGGAGGCAGCAGUGAGGAAUAUUGGUCAAUGGACGCAAGUCUGAACCAGCCACGUCGCGUGAAGGAAGACGGCCCUACGGGUUGUAAACUUCUUUUGCAAGGGAAUAAAGUGAGUCACGUGUGACUUUUUGCAAGUACCUUGCGAAUAAGGAUCGGCUAACUCCGUGCCAGCAGCCGCGGUAAU
rnacentral:rRNA from 1 species